rnacentral:rRNA from 1 species
UGUGUCACCCAGCCCGGUAAUAGACAGAUGCCGAACGUUGCGCGAAAUUACUGGGCGUAAAGGGUCCGUAGGCGGUCUGGUAAGUGGAAGGUGAAAUAUUCCGGCUCUCCCGUAGAAUUGCCUUUCAAACUGCUGGAGGCGAGGCAGGGAGAGGUCGGCGGAAAUUCCGGUGUAGCGGUGAAAUGCGUAGAUAUCGGGAGGAACACCAGUGGCGAAGGCGGCCGACUGGAACUGUCCUGACCAUGAGGGACGAAAGCUAGGGGAGCAAACCGGGUUUGAUUCCCGGGUUGUUCCACCCCUUAACAAUGGGUCCUAGAUGUGGCGUUCGAAAGUGGUUCUCUUCCGCAAGCUAACGCAUAAGCACCCCGCCUGGAGACCCCGACU